GUCUACGGCCAUGCCACCCUGAACCUGUCCCGUCUCGUCUGAUCUCGGAAGCUAAGCAGGGUCGGGCCCGGUGAGUACCUGGAUGGGAGACCACCAAGGAAUACCAGGUGCUGUAGGUG
rfam:Pteropus alecto contig66803, whole genome shotgun sequence.